UCCUUAGUUACAAAAAGUUCCUCCCAGGAAAUUUCCAGGCGUGCCCAUAAAUCUCCUCGCUGUUUGUUUGGGAGAACAGGGUUUUCUCGUCUGUAACAGAAUAGUCGUGGCAUUUGCUAUUGAAUGCUGGUGGCAAUCUAGUCAGAAGAGGACCCCGUGCUUCACUAAUUUUGCCUUUUUGUUGUUGGGGGUGACUUCUUCCCAGGGAUGUUCUUCUUGAUCCCCCGGGGCAAAGGGAGGUGUCAGCGUCAGGAGCCAUCCUAACUGGGGCCCUGGUAGGUGGUUGGUGUUUCUGCAGUGUUUGGCACAGGACUGGGGGAGAUUUUUACCCAGCUUUCUAAAGCUGUAGAUGAAUAGGAGAGACUGAAUGCACUCCCUUUAUUCACCUUUUCAGAGAGUAUCGGCCAGAAUACGAGCGCCUGAGAAAAACACUGGACAGUUCUCUGCAGGCACAGCUACACAGAGUUUGGCUUCCCGGCGCUGCUGAAAACGUCCUAGAAUCCCACCUGACUGGAGGUUGCUUUCCAUGCUUAGUCAGAAGUUCUGUGUAACCUGAGUUGAAAUGUAAGACCUGCGUAGUGACUUCUGCUCUCUGACUGGGGGACAGGCUGCUGGGUUUGGGUGAGGUUUCUCUUCUCCUGAUGUUUUAAAUGUUCUCAGAAUCCACAUGUAAAUCUUUGUCUACGGGAGAAAGCUCAAAAUAAACAAAAGAGAGAGCAGCUGGAACACUUGUGGAAGGACAUGGGCAGCGUGUGUGUGCAGGGCAGCACACUGGCAGGACCUGAUGCUUCUGCAAUGGGUCCCUCUGAGCUAAUACUAACAUGAGGAACUCUCGAUGAAGAGCAAGAAGAGAGGGAGAGUGACGCUGAUGGCAUUGACCACGAAGGUAAGGGAAUGAGGUCUAAAAGCUGCCUCUCAAGAAAUCCCCUCUAUAUUUCAUGUCCUGGAUGGACUGUAAGGAGAGCCUAGAAAACAAGCAAACAUUCAGUCACCUGACGUGUCAGAAUCUGUAGCAGAAGCUCAGCUGCAAUGGUCAGUGCAGGGAUAUCACUCUGUAACCUUUGUGAAAGUUCAAUUGUAAAUUUUCUAUUCAAGUAAUUAAUAGGUGUAUAACACACAUAAACCAGAGAACUCGUUAGGCUUGGGGCAUGCAGUGACCUCUGAACCUGAUUGAUGCACAGAUGUGUCCAUCAUCUUUUUGGCCUUACAGUUUCUGCCCCUGGCUCUCUUCCCUUUUCCUGUGACUGUGGUCUUGGAGCAAUCUUCUAAGUUGUUACAGUGUGAUUUUUCUCUUCUAUAGCUCACAGACUUAAUCUUCAUUCUUUCCCUGUUCCACUGAUGGGUAGGAUCACUUAUUUCCUUUGCCCUGUAAUGUAGCUGAAGAUGGAAUAGACUUUCUAUGUUGCUUUGGCUA